AACGAACGCUGGCGGCAUGCCUAACACAUGCAAGUCGAACGAGACCUGCGGGUCUAGUGGCGCCCGGGUGCGUAACGCGUGGGAACCUGCCCUUAGGUUCGGAAUAACUCCCCGAAAGGGGUGCUAAUACCGGAUAAUGUCUUCGGACCAAAGAGUUAUCGCCUUUGGAUGGGCCCGCGUUGGAUUAGCUAGUUGGUAGGGUAAAAGCGUACCAAGGCGACGAGCCAUAGCUGGUCUGAGAGGAUGAUCAGCCACACUGGGACUGGGACACGGCCCAGACUCCUACGGGAGGCAGCAGUGGGGAAUAUAGGAAAACGGGCGAAAGCCUGAUCCAGCAAUGCCGCGUGAGUGAUGAAGGCCUUAGGGUUGUAAAGCUCUUUUACCCGGGAUGAUAAUGACAGUACCGGGAGAAUAAGCUCCGGCUAACUACGUG
rnacentral:rRNA from 1 species